GAUGAACGCUGGCGGCAUGCCUUACACAUGCAAGUCGAACGGCAGCACGGGAGCAAUCCUGGUGGUGAGUGGCGAACGGGUGAGUAAAGUAUCGGAACGUGCCCAGUCGUGGGGGAUAACGUAGCGAAAGUUACGCUAAUACCGCAUACGAUCUAUGGAUGAAAGCGGGGGAUCGCAAGACCUCGCGCGAUUGGAGCGGCCGAUAUCCGAUUAGGUAGUUGGUGGGGUAAAGGCUCACCAAGCCGACGAUCUGUAGCUGGUCUGAGAGGACGACCAGCCACACUGGGACGGAGACACGGGCCAGACUCCUACGGGAGGCAGCAGUGGGGAAGUUUGGACAAGGGGCGCAAGCCUGAUCCAGCCAUGCAGCGUGCAGGAUGAAGGCCUUCGGGUUGUAAACUGCUUUUGUACGGAACGAAAAGGUUUGGCCUAAUACGCUGAACUCAUGACGGUACCGUAAGAAUAAGCACCGGCUAACUACGUGCCAGCAGCCGCCGUAA
rnacentral:rRNA from 1 species